ACACAUGCAAGUCGAACGGUAACAGAAAGUAGCUUGCUACUUUGCUGACGAGUGGCGGACGGGUGAGUAAUGCUUGGGAAUAUGCCUUAUGGUGGGGGACAACAGUUGGAAACGACUGCUAAUACCGCAUAACAUCUCCGGAUCAAAGUGGGGGACCUUCGGGCCUCACGCCAUAAGAGUAGCCCAAGUGGGAUUAGCUAGUUGGUAAGGUAAUGGCUUACCAAGGCGACGAUCCCUAGUUGGUCUUAGAGGAUGACCAGCCACACUGGAACUGAGACACGGUCCAGACUCCUACGGGAGGCAGCAGUGGGGAAUAUUGCACAAUGGGCGCAAGCCUGAUGCAGCCAUGCCGCGUGUGUGAAGAAGGCUUUCGGGUUGUAAAGCACUUUCAGCGAGGAGGAAAGGUUAUGUUUUAAUAGAGCAUAGCUGUGACGUUACUCGCAGAAGAAGCACCGGCUAACUCCGUGCCAGCAGCCGCGGUAAUACGGAGGGUGCGAGCGUUAAUCGGAAUUACUGGGCGUAAAGCGCGCGUAGGCGGUUAAUUAAGUCAGAUGUGAAAUCCCAGGGCUCAACCUUGGAACUGCAUUUGAAACUGGUUAACUAGAGUUUUGUAGAGGGUGGUAGAAUUUCAGGUGUAGCGGUGAAAUGCGUAGAGAUCUGAAGGAAUACCAGUGGCGAAGGCGGCCACCUGGACAAAGACUGACGCUGAGGCGCGAAGGCGUGGGGAGCAAACGGGAUUAGAUACCCCGGUAGUCCACGCAGUAAACGAUGUCUAUUAGAAUUUUGUGGCUAUAUGCCGUGGGAUUCAAAGCUAACGCAUUAAAUAGACCGCCUGGGGAGUACGGCCGCAAGGUUAAAACUCAAAUGAAUUGACGGGGGCCCGCACAAGCGGUGGAGCAUGUGGUUUAAUUUCGAU
rnacentral:rRNA from 1 species